rnacentral:rRNA from 1 species
UACAGAGGGGGCAAGCGUUUGUUCGGAAUUACUGGGCGUAAAGCGUGCGCAGGCGGUUUUGUAAGCCAGAUGUGAAAUCCCCGGGCUUAACCUGGGAAUGGCAUUUGGGACUGCAAGGCUCGAGUGCGGCAGAGGAGACUGGAAUUCCUGGUGUAGCAGUGAAAUGCGUAGAUAUCAGGAGGAACACCGAUGGCGAAGGCAGGUCUCUGGGCUGACACUGACGCUCAUGCACGAAAGCGUGGGGAGCAAACAGGG